rnacentral:rRNA from 1 species
UACGUAGGGUCCGAGCGUUGUCCGGAGUUACUGGGCGUAAAGCGCGCGCAGGCGGCUGGUGCUGGCCCGGCGUGAAAGCCCCGGCUCAACCGGGGAGGGUCGUCGGGGACCGCACCGCUUGAGGGCGGUAGGGGCUGGUGGAAUGCCGUGGUGUAGUGGGUGAAAUGCGUAGAGAAUCAGGCGGAACACCCGUGGCGAAGGCGCACUUCC